rnacentral:rRNA from 1 species
CCCUAUGGGGUGCAGCAGUCGCGAAAACUCCGCAAUGCGCGAAAGCGUGACGGGGCUACCCCGAGUGCCGUCCGCUGAGGAUGGCUUUUCCCUGGUGUAAUGAGCCGGGGGAAUAAGGAGAGGGCAAGACUGGUGUCAGCCGCCGCGGUAAUACCAGCUCUCCGAGUGGUAGGGACGAUUAUUGGGCCUAAAGCGUUCGUAGCCGGCUUAGCAAGUCUCCUGUUAAAUUCAGCGACUUAAUCGUUGAGCCGCAGGAGAUACUACUAGGCUAGGAGGCGGGAGAGGCCGACGGUAUUCCCGGGGUAGGGGUGAAAUCCUAUAAUCCCGGGAGGACCACCAGUGGCGAAGGCUGUCGGCUAGAACGCGCUCGACGGUGAGGGACGAAGGCUGGGGGGGCGAACCGGAUUAGAUACCCGGGUAGUCCCAGCUGUAAACGAUGCGGGCUAGGUGUUGGGGUGGCUACGAGCCACUUCAGUGCUGCAGGGAAGCCAUUAAGCCCGCCGCCUGGGGAGUACGGCCGCAAGGCUGAAACUUAAAGGAAUUGGCGGGGGAGCACCACAAGGCGUGAAGCUUGCGGUUCAAUUGGAGUCAACGCCGGGAACCUUACCGGGGGCGACAGCAGGAUGAAGGCCAGAUUGAAUGUCUUGCUAGACAAGCUGAGAGGUAGUGCAUGGCCACGGCGAU